AGCACCAAGUGUGGCCACUAGCCUAUAUGAAGGCCCAAAAUUGUGUGUUCCUUUCUGCUCUGACAAUGGCAUGCCCAUUCGUGCGAGAUGUGGUGGAUGAAGAAGCACUUGUGCUGAGGAGAGCCUUCAGACGAGAAAGGGUCUUCAGGGACCGGUUGGACCCACUGGCCUUCCCUGAUGACCAUCUAUAUGAAAGAUACAGGUUUUCUGCAGAUGGCAUCAGGUAUCUAUGCAGACUACUGGGUCCCAGGAUUAAGCACCGCACUGCACGGAGCCAUGCACUGAGUGUGGAGCAAAUGGUUUGUGUGGCCUUGCGCUUUUUUGCUAGUGGAGCCUUCCUGUACUCAGUGGGGGAUGCAGAACAGCUGAACAAGGCCACAAUUUGCCGCACAAUAAGGAGUGUGUGUCUGGCUAUCAAAGCAUUAGCAGAUGUCUUCAUCUCCUUCCCUGGCCACAGAAGACUCUGUGACAUCAAAGAGGAGUUCUAUAGGAUUGCAGAUGGUCUGCAAUGCUGACUGUGUGAUCAGCAAUGUUGUGGCAAAAUGGCCUGGCUCAGUCCAUGACUCCAGAAUCUUUCGGGCCUCUGAAAUCUAUCAGUGCCUAUCACAAGGUGAAUUCUCUGGUGUGUUGCUGGGAGACAGGGGUAUGGCUGCCAGCCUUUUCUCCUGACACCUUUCACAGACCCCCAGGAAGCACAGCAGGCCUACAACCAUGCCCAUGCCAGGACCAGGGCCAGAGUUGAAAUGACCUUUGGCCUCCUGAAGGCACGCUUUCACUGCCUUCACAAAUUAAGGGUCAGCCCUGUUAGGGCAUGUGAUAUUACUGUGGCUUGUGCUGUCCUCCACAAUGUGGCCUGCCUGAGGAAGGAGAGGGCCCCCAGAGUGCCACCAGCCAUGGACUGGGACAAUCCGGCAAUCUUCCCUGAUGACGACAGUGGUCGGCUGCUGAGGGACCAAUAUGUGUUGAAUUAUUUUAGUUAGUAUGUGUGCUUUCAAUUUUGGUUAAAUAUGUCCUGCGGUGGCAGAGGAAUUUGGGUUUUUUUGGGUUCGUUUUUUGACUAAUUUGGCCUCUUAUGAUGUUUGUGCGGUAUACUGUGUGUAAUACAAGGCUGCAGGGAGGCUACUGCAUCCAUUCAUUUGUCUGUUCAGUUGAUGUGUAUGGAUUUGUCCUGCAUUUAUUUUAGUGUGCAGACAUGCAGGGUGUGUUAUAUACAGACCUUUGAAUGUGUAUGUAUCAUUUUGUAUAAUAUGCUUGGAUUCUGUGCUUUCCAUCUUGUAGAGUCACUGUGACUUCAGUUUCGAAAGGAGCUGAUGGUUUACCUGCUUUGUUUUGUCCUUAUUCAAUAAAGGAACAUAAUGUUA